GAACUUUCAGAAAAUGAAGUGGUUGGAUCUUAUUUCUCUGUGAAGUCUCUCUUUUGGAGGACGUGCGGCAGGCCAGCUCUUCCUGUCCUGGGCUUCUGCAGAGCAGAGCUUCAGAAUCCUUAUUGCAAAAAUGUACAAUUUCAGACCCAAAGUUUACGCCUAUCAGACCUACACAGAAAAUCGCAUCUUUGGAGAGGAAUAGUCAGCAUCACCUUGAUUGAAGGGAGAGACCUCAAGGCCAUGGAUUCCAACGGGUUGAGCGAUCCCUACGUGAAGUUCCGGCUUGGGCAUCAGAAGUACAAGAGCAAGAUUAUGCCAAAAACGUUGAAUCCUCAGUGGAGGGAACAAUUUGAUUUUCACCUUUAUGAAGAAAGAGGAGGAGUCAUUGAUAUCACUGCAUGGGACAAAGAUGCUGGGAAAAGGGAUGAUUUCAUUGGCAG
rnacentral:circRNA from 1 species